rnacentral:rRNA from 1 species
UGCAAGUCGAACGGUAGCACAGAGAGCUUGCUCUCGGGUGACGAGUGGCGGACGGGUGAGUAAUGUCUGGGAAACUGCCCGAUGGAGGGGGAUAACUACUGGAAACGGUAGCUAAUACCGCAUAACGUCGCAAGACCAAAGAGGGGGACCUUCGGGCCUCUUGCCAUCAGAUGUGCCCUGAUGGGAUUAGCUAGUAGGUGGGGUAACGGCUCACCUAGGCGACGAUCCCUAGCUGGCCUGAGAGGAUGACCAGCCACACUGGAACUGAGACACGGUCCAGACUCCUACGGGAGGCAGCAGUGGGGAAUAUUGCACAAUGGGCGCAAGCCUGAUGCAGCCAUGCCGCGUGUAUGAAGAAGGCCUUCGGGUUGUAAAGUACUUUCAGCGGGGAGGAAGGUGUUGCGGUUAAUAACCGCAGCAAUUGACGUUACCCGCAGAAGAAGCACCGGCUAACUCCGUGCCAGCAGCCGCGGUAAUACGGAGGGUGCAAGCGUUAAUCGGAAUUACUGGGCGUAAAGCGCACGCAGGCGGUCUGUCAAGUCGGAUGUGAAAUCCCCGGGCUCAACCUGGGAACUGCAUUCGAAACUGGCAGGCUAGAGUCUUGUAGAGGGGGGUAGAAUUCCAGGUGUAGCAGUGAAAUGCGUAGAGAUCUGGAGGAAUACCGGUGGCGAAGGCGGCCCCCUGGACAAAGACUGACGCUCAGGUGCGAAAGCGUGGGGAGCAAACAGGAUUGGAUACCCUGGUAGUCCACGCCGUAAACGAUGUCGACUUGGAGGUUGUGCCCUUGAGGCGUGGCUUCCGGAGCUAACGCGUUAAGUCGACCGCCUGGGGAGUACGGCCGCAAGGUUAAAACUCAAAUGAAUUGACGGGGGCCCGCACAAGCGGUGGAGCAUGUGGUUUAAUUCGAUGCGACGCGAAGAACCUUACCUACUCUUGACAUCCAGA